AUAUAUCACCGGGCCCAGAUUUGGUACCAAGACACGCACAAGACGACGAGCUGCGCGGAGGUCGAACACUUCCUGCAGACACACGAAGUCCAAGCCCAUAGGUAAUGUGGCCUUCAGCUCACCACCAGGCACCCUAGGCGGCGGCUGACUGCAUUCGGAAACCCUAUACUGUGACGAUUGAAGGCUAUCUAGCAGUGCGGCCCCUACAGCCUCGGCGCGCUGCAGGCUGUGCGACAGGUUGUUAAAAUGAGCCAGCCCGUGGGGCAAUAGGCACAGAUUAGCAGUGAGAAAGACAAAGCAGCGCCGGCGCUCAGCAGGCGGAUGCCAGGGCUGUGGCCACACCCAGCAUGCCGGAGGGGGCUGAUAGCAGAAGGGGCGGCGCCAGACCUGGAGGGGCAGCCAGAGCGCAAGGCCGACCAACGCUAAGGGUAGGCCGACCACCACCAGUGGUAGCAACACCCCACUUCCUGCCAGGACUUUGAACCACCCCAAGCUUUUGGAUCGGACGCUUGGUGCCCAGCAGCCCAGCAACUGGUCCAGGGACCAGUAAGUCGGGAAAAGCAGCACGCGGGAUAAACUGUAGAGGGCUUGCAGCACUGGGUUCGGGAAAGGUGAAGGCCUCAGGGCGUUGGGUGUCAGGGGCCAGUCCUCUUGGGGCACUGGGCUCCUUCGCCGCGAAAUGUCAGGGAGACUCAUUGGUUUCCAGCGGCGGCGGAGGUCAAGACCAGGUGGCACAACCUGUGCGCGCCGCUAGUAAUGCCCGGACGUCCCGCGAGCCUGAGUGCUGGCCACUGGCCCCACCCACUCAGAACUUCUGUGGCGGUUGGAAACGAACAACAAUUUAAAAAAAAAAAAAAACCCGU
rnacentral:lncRNA from 1 species